AGUCCCAGCAGGCUUAGCGCCACAUAUGGAAGUGUUGUUGUUUACAUGCGGACACUUUAUAUCCUGGUUGUGGCGUAAAUUAACAACAGUGCUAUUACGGGAUCAUUGCCUACUGAUUGUUGCCUGAGUGUCAGAAUGGGAAACUAUGGAUCUUAAAGGUAUUGUUUAAAACAAAGAAGGGUUUUAUUUUGAUUUUAAUUUGUGUUUUAUUUAUAGGAUGUUUUAUUUUGUUUGUAAUUUUUAUGUUCUGAGUUUCUGUGUUGUAAUGAACUGUUUUCCCUUUUUCAGGGAAGCACAGUUGCCGUUCACUUUAGACCUACAAUAAUAUUUUUGUUAUUAAAUCUUUUCUUUUUGACAUUUGUUGUAUGUGAACUUGGGUUAUUUAUUAUGCUGUUAGUUUGACAACUGUUUGUAUUUGUAUUUUCCUUUGUUCACCUUUUCUUUCUUUUGUAGGUUUUAUUUUUGGAUUUGCUUUAUACCAUCAGUGGCCACUGGGUUCCCUGCACUGUGAGGAUGGCGGUGGAGAAAAGGUGGUUGGUAUUGUGUGGUGAUUUGGUCACUUUAUUGAUUUUAUGUUUUUAGGUUGCAGGGAGAUUGCUGUGAGCUGAGUGUGGUGAGAACACUGCUGCUUGGGUCCCUCAUCUGUCCUCACUUUCUGAGUAACCGGUGGCCAUUAGUGGUUUGUUUUUUUCUUUUUAUUUUGUUUAGUUUAUUUACUUUUCCCUUCUUGUUUGCAUUAGAGAUGGAGAAUAUUUGUCUUUUUAUACUCUAACCUGUGAAAUAAAAUUUAAUUGUUUUCCUGA